rnacentral:rRNA from 1 species
CCUACGGGUGGCAGCAGUGGGGAAUAUUGGACAAUGGGGGGAACCCUGAUCCAGCGACGCCGCGUGAGGGAAGAAGUAUUUCGGUAUGUAAACCUCUAUCAGCAGGGAAGAAAGAAAUGACGGUUCCUGACUAAUAACCCGCGGCUAACUACGUGCCAGCAGCCGAGGUAAUACGUAGGGGGGAAGCCUUAUCCGGAUUUACUGGGUGUAAAGGGCGCGUAGACGGGGAUUCAAGUCUGAAGUGAAAGGCGGGGGCCCAACGCCCGGACUGCGUUGGAAACUGGAUGGCUGGAGUGUGGGAGAGGUAAGUGGAAUUCCUGGUGUAGGGGUGAAAUGCGUAGAUAUUAGGAGGAACACCAGUGGCGAAGGCGGCCUGCUGGAACGUAACUGACGUUGAGGCUCGAAAGCGUGGGGAGCAAACAGGAUUAGAUACCCCAGUAGUC